CAGCGCCGCGGUAAUACCGGCGGCCCGAGUGGCGGUCACUAUUAUUGGGCUUAAAGCGUCCGUAGCCGGGUUGGGAAGUCCUCCGGGAAAUCUGGCCGCUUAACGGUCAGAAUGCCGGAGGAUACUCCCAGCCUAGGGAGCGGGAGAGGCCGAGGGUAUUCCCGGAGUAGGGGUGAAAUCCUAUAAUCCCGGGAGGACCACCUGUGGCGAAGGCGCUCGGCUGGAACGCGUCCGACGGUGAGGGACGAAGGCCAGGGGAGCAAACCGGAUUAGAUACCCGGGUAGUCCUGGCUGUAAACGAUGCGGACUUUGUGUCGGACAAGCUAUGAGCUUGUCCGGUGCCGGAGGGAAACCGUUAAGUCCGCCGCCUGGGGAGUACGGCCGCAAGGCUGAAACUUAAAGGAAUUGGCGGG
rnacentral:rRNA from 1 species